rnacentral:rRNA from 1 species
GCUUAACCGAAGAAGUGCAUCGGAAACUGGGUGACUUGAGUGCAGAAGAGGACAGUGGAACUCCAUGUGUAGCGGUGGAAUGCGUAGAUAUAUGGAAGAACACCAGUGGCGAAGGCGGCUGUCUGGUCUGCAACUGACGCUGAGGCUCGAAAGCAUGGGUAGCGAACAGGAUUAGAUACCCUGGUAGUCCAUGCCGUAAACGAUGAGUGCUAGGUGUUGGAGGGUUUCCGCCCUUCAGUGCCGGAGCUAACGCAUUAAGCACUCCGCCUGGGGAGUACGACCGCAAGGUUGAAACUCAAAGGAAUUGACGGGGGCCCGCACAAGCGGUGGAGCAUGUGGUUUAAUUCGAAGCUACGCGAAGAACCUUACCAGGUCUUGACAUCUUGCGCUAACCUAAGAGAUUAGGCGUUCCCUUCGGGGACGCAAUGACAGGUGGUGCAUGGUCGUCGUCAGCUCGUGUCGUGAGAUGUUGGGUUAAGUCCCGCAACGAGCGCAACCCUUGUUACUAGCUGCCAGCAUACCGUUGGGCACUCUAGUGAGACUGCCGGUGACAAACCGGAGGAAGGUGGGGAUGACGUCAGAUCAUCAUGCCCCUUAUGACCUGGGCUACACACGUGCUACAAUGGUCGGUACAACG